CGUGUAGGCGGUCCUAUUUGUCGCGGGUGAAAGCCCUGGGCUCAACCCAGGAAUUGCCCUCGAAACGGUAGGACUUGAGUUCGGGAGAGGAGAGCGGAAUUCCCAGUGUAGCGGUGAAAUGCGUAGAUAUUGGGAGGAACACCGGUGGCGAAGGCGGCUCUCUGGACCGAUACUGACGCUGAGACGCGAAAGCUAGGGGAGCAAACA
rnacentral:rRNA from 1 species